CCUACGGGAGGCAGCAGUAGGGAAUCUUUCACAAUGGGCGAAAGCCUGAUGGAGCAACGCCGCGUGCAGGAUGAAGGCCUUCGGGUUGUAAACUGCUUUUAUAAGCGAGAAAUAUGAUGGUAACUUAUGAAUAAGGAUCGGCUAACUACGUGCCAGCAGCCGCGGUCAUACGUAGGAUCCGAGCAUUAUCCGGGGUGACUGGGUGUAAAGAGUUGCGUAGGUGGCAUAAUAAGUAGCUAGUGAAAUCUGGUGGCUCAAACAUUCAGACUAUUAGCUAAACUGUUAAGCUCGAGACCGUUAGGGGUAACGGGAAUUUCUAGUGUAGGAGUGAAAUCCGUAGAUAUUAGAAGGAACACCAAUAGCGUAGGCAGGUUGCUGGGACGGUUCUGACACUAAGGCACGAAAGCGUAGGGAGCAAACGGGAUUAGAUACCCGAGUAGUC
rnacentral:rRNA from 1 species